UCCGCCGGCCUCUCCUUGACUAGGAAUAUUAGCACACACCCCUCUUCCACGGCUGUAAACACAGCUGCCGCUUUCUCCCUGCUUGUUAUGGACCCGUGAUUGCUGGGUCAAGCGCUCUGGAGGCCAGCACAGCCAUCUGUUCCACACGACGCCCAGUGGUCAUGCCGUGCCCAGCCCAAUGUCUCCUUACUCACAGAGGAACUCAGGUGAUAGGAGCUCAAGGAAGUGGCCAUCCAGAUAAGAAACAGAGAGACAGAAUUUGAACCUUGUGGGCCAUUAUAGAACUCAAUGACAGUCUGAGCCGUUGUCCGAUGCCGUGAGAAGGAUGAAUGACCCCCACCAGCAGCAGCUUGGACCCCUUACUUAGAAGGCCUGACUGAGGAAGGUGAGCAAAGCUGAACACUGUGUCCCCAGCGAGGUCAUCUUGCUGAAUGUCACUGCUCCUCAGGGGACUCAGAGGCCUAACAAGCCAAUCUGUCCUUCUUGGCUCUGGUCAGCGUCCCUGCUGGUCAGUCCUCCUGGGCUUGGGGACCAUAAAGCCAAAAUGCUUGCUGCCCACACCCUGCGCGGUCCGUGCUUCGCAAUCAGCCAGCCUGAGGCCUCUUUUUGAGGGCGGCUUCUGCUUUCUGUUGUGAAACGACUGUAUUUUCAAGGCCUUUCCUUUGGAGCACCCACUGCCAAGAGUUUCUCUGAGCUCCAAAGCCAUAAGCAGAGUGGUCACUGACAUGAACGUGGAACCCCAAAGAAGAGAAGGCAUUAGUUUCCCGAUUGCUGACCCUUCCUUCAGCCACCUCCUAAUGUUUGAGGCCUCAGACAGGGGUGCGUUUUGGAAGCCACGGUUGUAGCUGUUUCCAUGUUUUAAACAAACGGAAAGAGGAAAAGCCAGACAUGAGGCUUCUUGGCCAAGGCUGUUCCAGAGACAAGAAGCCUUGACAAGAAGUUGGUGAGCAGCUGGCUUCCUCUUCAGAGGCCUCUGGCUGCUGGGCGCUCACAAACUGAUCGCACUGUUAGUCCCGUAGCCCGUGUGGGGUUGCCCUGGGCUGGCGUGCUGAAAGCUGAAAAGACUGUAGCCCCUUUCCAAACCAGAGGCGGGGCUUUGCUCCGUGGAUCCCAGGACCUGCCUCCCACCCACGACAGGUGUGUUUUUUUACUGGCUCGGGAUUUUUAACAAAUAGAAAAGGCUCGCUGGAAGGGGGGGCUCCCUGAAUAAAGCUCGGGUGUCUCAGCCU